rnacentral:rRNA from 1 species
GUGAGGUAACGGCUCACCAAGGCAACGACGGGUAGCUGGUCUGAGAGGACGAUCAGCCACACUGGGACUGAGACACGGCCCAGACUCCUACGGGAGGCAGCAGCAGGGAAUAUUGCACAAUGGGCGCAAGCCUGAUGCAGCGACGCCGCGUGAGGGAUGAAGGCCUUCGGGUUGUAAACCUCUUUCAGGAGGGAAGAAGCGAAAGUGACGGUACCUCCAGAAGAAGACCCGGCCAACUACGUGCCAGCAGCCGCGGUAAUACGUAGGGGUCAAGCGUUGUCCGGAUUCAUUGGGCGUAAAGAGCUCGUAGGCGGCUCAGUAAGUCGGUCGUGAAAGCCCGGGGCUCAACCCCGGGACGCCGAUCGAAACUGCUGUGGCUAGGGUUCGGUAGAGGAGAGUGGAAUUCCCGGUGUAGCGGUGAAAUGCGCAGAUAUCGGGAGGAACACCAGUAGCGAAGGCGGCUCUCUGGGCCGACACCGACGCUGAGGAGCGAAAGCUAGGGGAGCAAACAGGAUUAGAUACCCUGGUAGUCCUAGCCGUAAACGUUGGGCACUAGGUGUGGCGAACUCAUUGACGUCUGCCGUGCCGCAGCUAACGCAUUAAGUG